rnacentral:lncRNA from 10 species
AAACACGAGCACCAGACCUGACUGGGUGGUUGAGGGAGCUCCUGGUGAAAUGUGCUGAGGCUUCUGCUGAGGUUUCUACCUCAGCUCCACGGCCUGGCCAGUUCAAUGGAUUGAAGAAAAUGUUCACGGAAGGAAGAUGAUUAAUUGAUCCAGAGGGCCUGUAGCAACUCUGUUUAACAUGCUAGAUGAGCCAGUCUUAUUCAGUGAUGACUAAGGAUCUAGAGAAAACUGGUGUCAGGUUGGUCUUCUUCUUCCCACCUAUUUUCAGUUGGCCUGCAGUUCCUAGGAUGUGUAUCCUGUAUGCUGGUCACCGGAAGAUAGGCAAAUUUUUGCUUUGUUGCUGGUUCUGGGACAACAGCCAUGAUGACUUCUUGGCAGUCAUUUGCAGACUAAGGUAGCUUUGAAGGUGAAGAUUCUUUGUGUUCAUUCUCAUCCUGAUGUAAAAAUACUACCUGAGACUGGAUAAUUUAUAAACAAAAGAGGUUUAAUUGAUUCACAGUUCCUCAUGCCUGGGGAGGCCUCAGGAAACUUACAAUCACAGCGGAAGGCAAAAGGGAAGAAGGCACCUUCUUCACAAGGUGGCAGGAGAGACAGUGAGGAAGUGCCAUACUUUAAAACCAUCAGCUCUCAUGAGACUUCACUCAUGAUCACGAGAACAGCAUGGGGAACCUUCUCCCAUGAUUCAAUCACCUCCCACCAGCUCCCUCCUCGACAUGUGGGGAUUACAAUUUGAGAUGAGAUUUGGGUGGGUACACAGAGACAAACCAUAUCUAUCAAUUCUGAAUGUUUAAUACCAGUAUUAUUAGAGGAGGAUCUAGUCCCCUUCAGGACAUAAGGAUCUAUGAUCCUCUGUCAGAACAUAUUAGACCCUUUCCUUUGGCUAUAACCAAAAGAUUAUAAACAUACAUCCAGGAAUAAAAAUAGUAUAUUAAAAUUGUGUGUGUGUGUGUGUGUACGAAUGUAAAUUUUUUGUGCCAAAUCUAAAGACUCUUUACCUAGUCCUAAUGUGUCUUGAAGAUCUUCUGCAGUUUUUUUUCUAGAAAUUUUAUAGUUUUAUGUUUUACAUUUAAGUCUGUGAUUCAUUUUUAGUUAAUUUUUUUUGUAUAAGAUGUGAAGCUUAGGUUAAGGUUCAUGUUUUUGCCUAUGGUUGUUCAAUUGCUCUAAUAGCAUUUAUUGAAAAGGUUAAUGAUUUAUUUGUACUUCUGCCAAAAUUAAUUGAUCAUACUCAUGUGGUCAUACUUCCGCUUUCUCUGUUUUAUACCACUUAGCUUUGUCUAUCUUGCUAUCAAUACCACACUGUCUUGAUUACUGUAGCUAUAUAUUACUGUAGCUAUAUAGUAAACUUUAAUAAAAGGAAGAUGAACUUUCUUCUUCUUUUUUCAAAAUCGUUUUGGCUGUUUAAGGUCUUUUUCUUUUGGUAUACAUUUUAGAGUAAAAGUACAUACUUCUGUGAAAUACCUUACUAAGCUUCUGAUAGGAAAUACGAUAACACUGUAGAACAGUUUAGGGAGGACUGGUAUCUUUACUAAAUCUUCUAACCCAUAAACAUGAUAUUUAGGUCUUCUUGUCUUUCACCAACAUUUUGUAAUUUUCAACAUGUAGAUUCUAUACAAUUUUGUUGAGAUUAUGUCAUCUGUGAAUAAAGACUGUUUUAUUUCUUUUCCAAUUUGUAUGCCUUUUAUUUUUUUGUGUGCUUGUUAUAAUGACUAGAACUUCCAGUAAUACGUUGAAUAAUAGUGCUGAAAACAGAUUUCCUUGCCUUGUUCCUGAUCUUAGAGUGAAAGCAUUUAGCCUUUCACCAUUAUGUAUUACAUAGAUAUUGUUUCUUUUUUUUGUGUAUGUAAUUUCUUAUUAUGAGAUUAAGGAAGUUCCCUUCUAUUCCUAGUGUAUUGAAAGUUUUUAUAAUGAAUGGGUGUUGAAUUUUGUCAAAUGCUUUUUCUGUCAAUUGGUAUAAUCAUAUGACUUUUUUGUUUAGUUUGUUAAUAUUAUGGAUGAUAAUGAUAGAUUUUUGAAUAUCAAACUGUCCUUAUAUACCUAGAAUAAAUUCCACUUGGUCAUGGUAUACUAAUAUUUUUAUACACUGAUGGAUUCAAUUUGCUAACAUUUUAUUGAGGAUUUCUGCCCUGCUUUUAAGUCACUUUUGUUUACCUCUUU